rnacentral:rRNA from 1 species
GACGAACGCUGGCGGCGUGCUUAACACAUGCAAGUCGAACGGAAAGGCCCUGCUCUUGUGGGGUGCUCGAGUGGCGAACGGGUGAGUAACACGUGAGUAACCUGCCCUUGACUUUGGGAUAACUUCAGGAAACUGGGGCGAAUACCGGAUAGGAGCUCCUGCUGCAUGGUGGGGGUUGGAAAGUUUCGGCGGUUGGGGAUGGACUCGCGGCUUAUCAGCUUGUUGGUGGGGUAGUGGCUUACCAAGGCUUUGACGGGUAGCCGGCCUGAGAGGGUGACCGGCCACAUUGGGACUGCGAUACGGCCCAGACUCCUACGGGCGGCAGCAGGGGGGAAUAUUGCACAAUGGGCGGAAGCCUGAUGCAGCAACGCCGCGUGCGGGAUGCCGGCCUUCGGGUUGUAAACCGAUUUCGAAUGUGCCGAAGCGUGAGUGACGGUAAUGGGUAAAGAAGCAACGGCUAACUACGUG